rnacentral:rRNA from 2 species
AAGCAGAGGGGGCUUAGUGGUGGGGUGACUGCGUACCUUUUGUAUAAUGGGUCAGCGACUUAUAUUCUGUAGCAAGGUUAACCGAAUAGGGGAGCCGGAGGGAAACCGAGUCUUAACCGGGCGUUAAGUUGCAGGGUAUAGACCCGAAACCCGGUGAUCUAGCCAUGGGCAGGUUGAAGGUUGGGUAACACUAACUGGAGGACCGAACCGACUAAUGUUGAAAAAUUAGCGGAUGACCUGUGGCUGGGGGUGAAAGGCCAAUCAAACCGGGAGAUAGCUGGUUCUCCCCGAAAGCUAUUUAGGUAGCGCCUCGUGAAUUCAUCUCCGGGGGUAGAGCACUGUUUCGGCUAGGGGGCCAUCCCGGCUUACCAACCCGAUGCAAACUGCGAAUACCGGAGAAUGUUAUCACGGGAGACACACGGCGGGUGCUAACGUCCGUCGUGAAGAGGGAAACAACCCAGACCGCCAGCUAAGGUCCCAAAGUCAUGGUUAAGUGGGAAACGAUGUGGGAAGGCCCAGACAGCCAGGAUGUUGGCUUAGAAGCAGCCAUCAUUUAAAGAAAGCGUAAUAGCUCACUGGUCGAGUCGGCCUGCGCGGAAGAUGUAACGGGGCUAAACCAU